GGGUCCUGGCUCCCGCCGUUCCAGAGCCAGAAGCUCCCAGGCGCUCGUCCUAGUUGUUCCUAUGGACCCCCCGCAGGAGGAGCACCGCCCAGUGUGCGGGACAGCUGUGUGGGGAAGCCGUCCUCCCGUCAGGGGGCUUCCAAGCGGGUGAUGCUUUCUGCGAGGGAGAAGAGCGCCGCUUGUGUGGCCCUUUUGACGUACCUGUACUUGCAGGUACAAAAGGUGCCUCUGCUUACUGGUGGGAGAUGCUUGAGAAAGCCAUGGUCCAGCAGGCCUGUGUCUUAUGGGUGUUCAGGCAUUGGAGCAGACUUCCCAGGGAGGUGGUGGAAUCUCGGUCCCUCAGACGUUCAAAAUUCAUAUAGGUGAGGCCCUUAGGGACAUAGUUCAGUGGUGGUCUUGGCAGUCCUGUGAUUUGAUGUUCUUAAAGGUCAAAUCCUAGUUGGAUUUGAUAGUGUUAAAGGUCUUUUCCAACCUAGUUGAUUCCAUGAUUCUAUUAUACUGCCUUUAUUGUGGUUUAUCCUAUUUUCUAGUCUUAACUCUUACCAUUGAUGCAAUGUGCAGAGUAUCCAGUCAUCUGAAGUGGUAUUCUGGUGAAAUGGACAAUGAAAUUAAAUCUGUCCCUUGAAUUGAAUGUCCCUGAUUGCCAUAUUUUUGCAUCUGGUUUCAGCAAGCUUUUAGAGACAAAAAUGCAGGUGUCAUUCUUUUGAGGUGUAUGCCUCAGUAACUGCUAAAACCUGGUUUCAUGAACUACAACAGGAUGAGGCUUGCUGCAUAGUUAACUGGUACAAGUCAGUCUCAGAACUGUGGGCUGGACCAUGUUCCUAAGCCAUGCAGGUAGCAACAGAUGCCUCAGAGCUUUCUGAACCACUUAGGUCACUGCAUGGCUGCAUCUUGUAGCCAUUCAUUGUAACAAAUGAUUUUGCAACAGCUUUUCUCAGAAUGAGAAAGUUCUCUUUGGAAACUGGCAGUUCCUCUUAAGAUUCCUUUCUGAAGCUGAUCGUAAUCUUCUCUAAGGCAUGGGUACAUCACAAGCUGCUCAAGUGCAAAUCUGACUGCCCAGAUUUAGUGUUGGCACCUUGUUGCUGAGGUCAUGGCUCACAGAAGCCGUAACAGGACUCCCAGCUACAAGCUCACAUCCCAGUGGAGCAGCUGCCCACCUCACUGCUUCCUAAUACACUGUGCAUUUGAGAUAUUGAGAGUGUGGCAAAUCUGUGUUUGCACAAUAGGAGCAAGUAAUGAAUGAAAGCAGUGAAAGACAGCGCGUAGAUAGAGAAAACAUAGUUUCUUUGACUCUCAGACAAGUUACAUUAGACAUUGGACUUUACACAAUAAAACCUCCUUAUCAGUGGUAAAUGGUGACCAUCCCACAAAACCAGAUUUCAGUAGGUGUUUGUUCUGCAGUAUGAAAAAAAGGAUUCAACACCACAUUUUUUCUUUUUUAAAAGUAAAACUGCUUUUUGAGUUGAUGAGCUAAUUACACAGAUACUGGAGAUGCUGUUCUAAGUAUUGUGCUGCUAUUCUCAUUUUUCAAAUUAAUGACUCACUCCUUGAACAGCUGAUUGUGUUUGGGUUAAUGACCAAGGGCAGACUCUUACUGUAGAUCAGACAUACUUCAGGUAUCAAAAUUAAUUUCUGACACAUUUAUGCAUUGCUACAAGAUGUUUCAGUUUCAAAGAAUUUGCAGUUUUCACUGGUAAACUGCUUAGUCAAACUAUUUCUUAAAACAAGGGAACUGAAUUUUAAUAAAAGUGAUGGUAA